ACGCUCGACACCUACGGGGGGCAGCAGUGGGGAAUAUUGCACAAUGGGGGAAACCCUGAUGCAGCGACGCCGCGUGGAGGAAGAAGGUCUUCGGAUUGUAAACUCCUGUUGUUGGGGAAAAAGAGGAUGGUACCCAACAAGGAAGUGACGGCUAACUACGUGCCAGNGCGCCGGUAGUACUGNGCGGCGUGNGAGACG
rnacentral:rRNA from 1 species